UAUUGGGCAAUGGGGGAAACCCUGACCCAGCGACGCCGCGUGAGGGAAGACGGCCUUCGGGUUGUAAACCUCUUUUGUACGGGAAGAAGGAAGUGACGGUACUGUACGAAUAAGUCCCGGCUAACUACGUGCCAGCAGCCGCGGUAAUACGUAGGGGACGAGCGUUGUCCGGAAUUACUGGGCGUAAAGGGCGCGCAGGCUGUGCUGCAAGUCAGCUGUGAAAUGUCUGGGCUUAACCCGGGCAUGCGGUUGAGACUGCAGUGCUGGAGUGCUGUAGAGGCAAGUGGAAUUCCCAGUGUAGCGGUGAAAUGCGUAGAUAUUGGGAAGAACACCGGUGGCGAAGGCGACUUGCUGGGCAGCAACUGACGCUGAGGCGCGAAAGCCAGGGGAGCAAACGGG
rnacentral:rRNA from 1 species